rnacentral:tRNA from 1 species
CAAAGUGUAGCUUAACAUAUAAAGCACCCGGCUUACACCCAGAAGAUCUCACAAAAACGUGACCACUUUGA